rnacentral:rRNA from 1 species
GUGAAGCGGCAACAGCUCAAAUUUGAAAUCUGGCGUCUUUGGCGUCCGAGUUGUAAUUUGCAGAGGGCGCUUUGGCAUUGGCAGCGGUCCAAGUUCCUUGGAACAGGACGUCACAGAGGGUGAGAAUCCCGUACGUGGUCGCUAGCCUUUACCGUGUAAAGCCCCUUCGACGAGUCGAGUUGUUUGGGAAUGCAGCUCUAAAUGGGAGGUAAAUUUCUUCUAAAGCUAAAUACUGGCCAGAGACCGAUAGCGCACAAGUAGAGUGAUCGAAAGAUGAAAAGCACUUUGGAAAGAGAGUUAAAAAGCACGUGAAAUUGUUGAAAGGGAAGCGCUUGCAGCCAGACUUGCCUGUAGUUGCUCAUCCGGGUUUUUACCCGGUGCACUCUUCUAUAGGCAGGCCAGCAUCAGUUUGGGCGGUUGGAUAAAGGUCUCUGUCAUGUACCUCUCUUCGGGGAGAACUUAUAGGGGAGACGACAUGCAACCAGCCUGGACUGAGGUCCGCGCAUCUGCUAGGAUGCUGGCGUAAUGGCUGUAAGCGGCCCGUCUUGAAAC